GAUGAACGCUGGCGGCGUGCCUAAUACAUGCAAGUCGAACGCUGGAAAUCUAGCUUGCUAGAUUGAAGGAGUGGCGAACGGGUGAGUAAUACAUAAGCAACCUACCCACGAAGACUGGGAUAAUCUCUGGAAACGGGGACUAAUACCGGAUAGGUAAUCGGAAGGCAUCUUCUGAUUAUUAAAGGUUAAAAACACUGGUGGAUGGGCUUAUGGCGCAUUAGUUAGUUGGUGAGGUAACGGCCCACCAAGACGAUGAUGCGUAGCCGGCCUGAGAGGGUGAACGGCCACAUUGGGACUGGGACACGGCCCAGACUCCUACGGGAGGCAGCAGUAGGGAAGUUUCGGCAAUGGGGGAAACCCUGACCGAGCAACGCCGCGUGAGUGAUGACGGCCUUCGGGUUGUAAAGCUCUGUUGUAAGGGAAGAACGGUAGAUAGAGAAUAUCUAAAUGACGGUACCUUACCAGAAAGCCACGGCUAACUACGUG
rnacentral:rRNA from 1 species